rnacentral:rRNA from 1 species
UGGGGAAUAUUGCACAAUGGGCGAAAGCCUGAUGCAGCAACGCCGCGUGAGGGACGACGGCCUUCGGGUUGUAAACCUCUUUAGCAAGGAAGAAGCGAAAGUGACGGUACUUGCAGAAAAAGCGCCGGCUAACUACGUGCCAGCAGCCGCGGUAAUACGUAGGGCGCAAGCGUUAUCCGGAAUUAUUGGGCGUAAAGAGCUCGUAGGCGGUUUGUCGCGUCUGCUGUGAAAACCCGAGGCUCAACCUCGGGACCUGCAGUGGGUACGGGCAGACUAGAGUGCGGUAGGGGAGAUUGGAAGCUCCUGGUGUAGCGGUGGAAUGCGCAGAUAUCAGGAAGAACACCGAUGGCGAAGGCAGAUCUCCUGGGCCGUAACUGACGCUGAGGAGCGAAAGAGUGGGGAGCAAACAGGCUUAGAUACCCUGGUAGUCCACCCCGUAAACGUUGGAACUAUUGUGGGGNCCAUUCCACGGAUUCCGUGACGCAGCUAACGCAUUAAGUUCCCCGCCUGGGGAGUACGGCCGCAAGGCCUAAAACUUGAAAUGAA